AAAAUCUGCUCUUCUGAUGUAUUCAUGCACUCUGCCAGGAGCUUCCAGUAGAACCAGGCUUUAGAACAAGGGGUCAUGGUUGUUGCUUUUCCAGAAGGUGCCUUUUCCAGAAGUCCUUUAUCUUUUACAGAAGGAAAUGGUGUCACCUGAAAUUGUGCAGAAGAUGGGUGUUGUAUCGGUCUUCCCUGGGUUCCUCCAGAAGAAGAAAGCAUAAGCCUCACCUUUUCAGAAACAAGAGCUGCCCAGACUGCGACAGACUGGUGGAGAACUGCUGUGAGACGUUUGCAAUGCCUUGCUUGUGCAUCUGCAGUGAGGUUCAGCGGAAAAAGAUAAAGAAAAGAUUCUCCUUUUCCAACCAUCGUGAUGGCUGACAUCUGCUGGGAUGACCCCUUGCCCCUAGCAGCAAAGCACAGCUAUGUAAAGACGGACGACAGACAGAU
rnacentral:lncRNA from 1 species